rnacentral:rRNA from 1 species
AUUGAACGCUGGCGGCAUGCUUUACACAUGCAAGUCGAACGGUAACAGGCCGCAAGGUGCUGACGAGUGGCGAACGGGUGAGUAAUGCAUCGGAACGUGCCCAGUCGUGGGGGAUAACUACUCGAAAGAGUAGCUAAUACCGCAUACGAUCUAUGGAUGAAAGCGGGGGACCGUAAGGCCUCGCGCGAUUGGAGCGGCCGAUGUCAGAUUAGGUAGUUGGUGGGGUAAAGGCUCACCAAGCCAACGAUCUGUAGCUUGUCUGAGAGGACGACCAGCCACACUGGGACUGAGACACGGCCCAGACUCCUACGGGAGGCAGCAGUGGGGAAUUUUGGACAAUGGGCGCAAGCCUGAUCCAGCAAUGCCGCGUGCAGGAAGAAGGCCUUCGGGUUGUAAACUGCUUUUGUACGGAACGAAACGGCUCUGGUUAAUACCCGGGGCUAAUGACGGUACCGUAAGAAUAAGCACCGGCUAACUACGUG